AAUAGAUACCCGGGUAGUCCACGCCGUAAACGAUGGAUGCUAGCUGUUAGGAGUAUCGACCCUUCUAGUAGCGAAGCUAACGCGUUAAGCAUCCCGCCUGGGGAGUACGGUCGCAAGAUUAAAACUCAAAGGAAUUGACGGGGACCCGCACAAGUGGUGGAGCGUGUUCUUUAAUUCGAUGAUAAGCGAAGAACCUUACCAGGGCUUGACAUCCUUGGAAUUUCUCCGAAAGGAGAGAGUACUUUAUUGGACCAAGUGACAGGUGUUGCAUGGCCGUCGUCAGCUCGUGUCGUGAGAUGUUAGGUUAAGUCCUUCAACGAGCGCAACCCUUAUGUUUAGUUGGAUUUCUCUAAACAGACUGCCUCGGCAACGGGGAGGAAGGAGGGGAUGAUGUCAGGUCAUUAUUACCCUUACGUCCUGGGCUAGAAACGCGCUACAAUGGCCGGUACAAAGGGCAGCCAACCCGCGAGGGGGAGCAAAUCCCAUCAAAACCGGUCCCAGUUCGGAUUGCAGGCUGAAACUCGCCUGCAUGAAGCCGGAAUCACUAGUAAUCGU
rnacentral:rRNA from 1 species